rnacentral:rRNA from 1 species
GAUGAACGCUGGCGGCGUGCCUAAUACAUGCAAGUCGAGCGAACAGACGAGGCGCUUGCUCCUCUGACGUUAGCGGCGGACGGGUGAGUAACACGUGGAUAACCUACCUAUAAGACUGGGAUAACUUCGGGAAACCGGAGCUAAUACCGGAUAAUAUAUUGAACCGCAUGGUUCCAUAGUGAAAGACGGUUUUGCUGUCACUUAUAGAUGGAUCCGCGCCGCAUUAGCUAGUUGGUAAGGUAACGGCUUACCAAGGCGAAGAUGCGUAGCCGACCUGAGAGGGUGGUCGGCCACACUGGAACUGAGACACGGUCCAGACUCCUACGGGAGGCAGCAGUAGGGAAUCUUCCGCAAUGGGCGAAAGCCUGACGGAGCAACGCCGCGUGAGUGAUGAAGGUCUUCGGAUCGUAAAACUCUGUUAUUAGGGAAUAACAAAUGUGUAAGUAACUAUGCACGUCUUGACGGUACCUAAGCAGAAAGCCACGGCUAACUACGUG